AAAGUUGUACAUAUGUGCAUAGUGAAAAGCUAUUUAGUCUUAUUUUUAACUGCUAGUCGAAAAAUAAAAGAGAUGGGAAACACGCUCACUUGAAGUUGCGGCAGAAGUAUGUACUUCUUGUAAUGUUGCUUGUCCAAGAAAUUAUAUAUAUUCUUCAAGGUCCGAUUUGGUUUAUCUCUUACAGUUACCUCGUUUAUAACAUCCGGGUCCAUAAAGUCAACAUCAUAGAAUCCUUUCCUCAAGAAAUCUCGAAUCUCCAUCCUG
rnacentral:lncRNA from 1 species